AUGCCUUUUUGCCUACGUGGUGCCAGGGGCAAAGUAGGGGAGAGCGAAAAACAGCUUUGGAUACAACUAUUUCGAAGGAGAAUAAAUAUGAAGAUGCCAAAUUCUAGCUUUUCAUUAUCUAAAAUCCAUGUUUUUUUUUCUUUUAAAAACCUUCCAAUCUUCAGUAUAUCUUUAAAAGCCCACUUCUUAGCUGCUAGCCAAUCCACACCAAUUAUUUAAAUUCACUUGGCACACACCUUUGUCCACUGGGUAAAUUAUAUUCAUUAUGCCCACUGCUGCAGCAUGCAUAAACCAACACCCCUGCAUGGCUGAACAGGGCCUAAUCUAGGACUGAUGGGAGAAGAGCUUGCAAACCAAGAUCAAGAUGUCAUUUCUCUGCUAAUACUCUCUACCAAACUGAUCCCUACAAAAAUUCACAUAAAAGCAGGCACGUUUAGCUACUGUGUUGCAAGAGAAGCCAGGACCUUGUUAAAUAGUUCUCUCCAUUACCAUUUAUUCUCUCAAGGGAAGCUUUAAAAAAAAAGAAAAAGAAAAAACAACAAAUUGGUUUGACCACCUCAUAAAUCCAACAAGCAUUGGUGUGGCAUUUCAGUGGAGAAGGAAACUUGGGGGGGAAAAACUCAUCAAGGUUGUAAGAAGGGCUCCCAAUUUAACUGUCCCUGUCCCUAUUUAUCCACCUUUAUUCACCACCCAAGACCACUAUUAUUCUAGAGCACUCUGAUCUAUAAAGGGGGUCAAAGCAUCAGGAGCAGGCAGGUGUAAGAACCAAAAGACAAGAAACCAAUUUGCUUGAGAAAAGCAGAGAUUCUUCCUUUUACAGCUCUCCAUGGCUGAGAGAGACAAUGCCCAAGAGAUCAUCUCUGUGACUUAGAGACUGCUUUUUCAGAGGUUAAGAGUAGCAUGAAGAACUUAAGAUGAUGACAAGAGUCUGAAUUUUUAAAGUUUCAAGGUUUCAACAGAAUGUGGAUAUAUUCGAACUUUCAAAAAGGAGAGUGUUUAGAAAGGGAAAACCAGGACAC
rnacentral:lncRNA from 1 species